rnacentral:rRNA from 1 species
UACGGAGGGUGCAAGCGUUAUCCGGAUUCACUGGGUUUAAAGGGUGCGUAGGAGGGCAGGUAAGUCAGUGGUGAAAUCUCCGGGCUUAACCCGGAACUGCCGUUGAUACUAUCUGUCUUGAAUAUAGUGGAGGUGAGCGGAAUAUGUCAUGUAGCGGUGAAAUGCUUAGAUAUGACAUAGAACACCCAUUGCGAAAGGCAGCUCGCUACACUAUCAUUGACACUGAGGCACGAAAGCGUGGGGAUCAAACAGG